rnacentral:rRNA from 18 species
GGUACUUAUACUGCACCACCAGCGCAAGUCUUUCGUGUUGGUGAGUUGGAGGGUGUGAAUGUUGUUGUGCAGCUUGCGCCGUGAGGCAAAGUGAAAUAUCCUUCUAGUGCAGAUCUUGGUGGUAGUAGCAAA